rnacentral:rRNA from 1 species
UGGGGAAUAUUGCACAAUGGGCGGAAGCCUGACGCAGCGACGCCGCGUGCGGGAUGAAGGCCUUCGGGUUGUAAACCGCUUUCAGCAGGGACGAGGCCGCAAGGUGACGGUACCUGCAGAAGAAGCCCCGGCUAACUACGUGCCAGCAGCCGCGGUAAUACGUAGGGGGCAAGCGUUAUCCGGAUUCAUUGGGCGUAAAGCGCGCGUAGGCGGUUUGUUAGGUCAGGAGUUAAAUCUGGGGGCUCAACCCCUAUCCGCUCCUGAUACCGGCAGGCUUGAGUCUGGUAGGGGAAGGCGGAAUUCCAAGUGUAGCGGUGAAAUGCGCAGAUAUUUGGAAGAACACCGGUGGCGAAGGCGGCCUUCUGGGCCACGACUGACGCUGAGGCGCGAAAGCUAGGGGAGCGAACAGG